UGAUAUUCUGUUCACAUAGUCCCUCCAGAAACUGCAUGCUUGGUCAAAGAGGAAAAUCAUCCUGAAUAAAGGAGGACUGUUCUUCAAUCAAGGGUGUAUGAGUAUCUGGGCUUCCCUGCUAGAAUCUCCAAAAGAUACCACUGUCAAUUCUUAAAUAAUAUUUUAGUCACCAAUGAGGCUAAAUAAGAUACAAGCAAGCCAUAUU
rnacentral:snRNA from 1 species